AGCAGCCGCGGUAAUUCCAGCCCCAAUAGCGUAUAUUAAAGUUGUUGCAGUUAAAAAGCUCGUAGUUGAAUUUCGGGACCAAUAUGUCGGUCGUGCUUCGGUACGUACUUGCAUUAUUGGUUUCUCCCUUCUGAAGAACCAUGAUGUCAUUAAUUUGGUGUCUUGGGGAAUCAGGACUGUUACUUUGAAAAAAUUAGAGUGUUUAAAGCAGGCUCACGCUUGAAUACAUUAGCAUGGAAUAAUGAAAUAGGACGUUUGAUUCUAUUUUGUUGGUUUCUAGGAUCGACGUAAUGAUUAAUAGGGAUAGUUGGGGGCAUUAGUAUUCAAUUGUCAGAGGUGAAAUUCUUGGAUUUAUUGAAGACUAACUACUGCGAAAGCAUUUGCCAAGGAUGUUUUCAUUAAUCAAGAACGAAGUUAGGGAUCGAAGACGAUCAGAUACCGUCGUAGUCUUAACCAUAAACUAUGACCGACUAGGGAUCGGAUGAUGUUUAUUUUUGAUUGACUCUAGUUCGGCGUCCUU
rnacentral:rRNA from 1 species